GUCACGUUCAGUGUAGAUGUACCCUUACAUCUCAUCUGUAUGCCAUACCAGUGUUUCCUCACUCAUUGGUUAAGAGGACAAUCAACCUAUAUGGCACACUAUGACCUAUGCUUGAUAAACUUUAUCAUCCUUGGUAACAACGUAUCAUUUGGUCGCGAACAGAUUUGAGGACUAAACGAUAAAUCCUCCUUUGUCGAGUCUAAAUAGUCCUAAGGACUUCACCACAACAUAAGAGUUCAUUAGAAGAUGAAACAUUUUAUGAUGAAAAAUGCCAAAAUAAUUUUUAUUAAUUCAUAAUUCAUGUACAAAUAGAAAAAUGAACACAACCGUCAACAGACUGACGAUUGGCUUUGGGACACUAUUUCCAAUAAUAUCUUUAUUCAUAUUUAGAUCUGAAAUUAGAAUGAUUAAAGAAUGUAUCAGACUGCUAUAAGGUUGUACUGAUAUAGGGUUUAUCUCUAUACUAAAAAGGUUAUUUUAGUUUGAUGCGAACCAAUUUUUGAAAAAUAUUUUUAAAGAGUUUUAAUCAUUAUUUUAGAUUUGAUUAUGCACGUAUCAGAUAUGUAUAAUUUUAGUUUUAAAUUUAAAAAUAUAUAUGUGAUAUAUGUUUUGUUGUUUAGAUCUAAAACUGCAUAUAUGAGAUAUAUGACUUUAGGUUUAGAUCUGAAAAAAUUUCAUGAUCAUAAGCCAUAGCCAUUAAUGCAUGCAAUGAAACAUAAUCUAAGAAGUAUUUUAAAAUCUAAAUUUUAUGUUAUUACUUAUAGGUAUAGGUUAAACAAAUUAGGUCUAGUGAUCAAACUAUAAUUAGGGUCAAUUGAUUUGAUCAGAUUAGAACCCAUUGUCGAUUUUGAGAAGUUGAUCGAANNNNNNNNNNNNNNNNNNNNGGUCACGUUCAGUGCAGAUGUACUCUUACAUCUCACCUGUAUGCCAUACCAGUGUCUCCACACUCAUUGGUUAAGAGGACAACCAACCUAUAUGGCACACAACGACCUAUGUUUGAUAAACGUUGUCAUCCUUGGUAACAACGUAUCAUUUGGUCGCGAACAGAUUUAAGGACUAAAUGACAAAUCCUCCUUUAUCGAGUCUAAAUAGUCCUAAGGACUUCACCACAACAUAGG
rnacentral:lncRNA from 1 species